GACGAACGCUGGCGGCGUGCCUAAUACAUGCAAGUCGAACGCAGUGGGGACGGGUGAGUAACACGUCGGUAACCUCCCAUCAGAGGGAUAAAACUUGGAAACAGGUGCUAAACCUAUACUGAUGGGUGAACCGGCGGUGCAUUAGCUUGUUGGUGCGGUAACGGCUCACCAAGGCCACGAUGCAUAGCCUACCUGGGAGGGUGAACGGCCACACUGGGGAUGAGACACGGCCCAGACUCCGACGGGAGGCAGCAGUAGAGAAUCUUCGGCAAGGGACGAAAGGCUGACCGGGCAACGCCGCGUGAGUGAAAAAGGUUUUCGGAUCGUAAAACUCUGUUGUUGGAGAAGCGGUAUCUAACCAGAAAGCCACGGCUAACUACGUGCCAGCAGCCGCGGUAAUAC
rnacentral:rRNA from 1 species